rnacentral:rRNA from 1 species
UACCAGCACCCCGAGUGGUCGGGACGAUUAUUGGGCCUAAAGCAUCCGUAGCCGGUUCUACAAGUCUUCCGUUAAAUCCACCUGCUCAACGGGUGGGGUGCAUGGUAGACUGCAGGGCUAGAGGACGGUAGAGGGGGGUGGAAUUGCUGGUGUAGCGGUGAAAUGCGUAGAGAUCAGCAGGAACACCCGUGGCGAAGGCGGCCCCCUGGGCCGUACCUGACGCUGAGGCGCGAAGGCUAGGGGAGCGAACGGG